rnacentral:rRNA from 1 species
CAAAACAUGUCCUGUUGAUUAUAAUUUUAGGUCGAUCUGCUCAAUGAAUUAUUUUAAAUAGCUGCAGUAUGUUGACUGUACAAAGGUAGCAUAAUAAAUUGUCUUUUAAUUGAAGAAUUGUAUGAAAGAAUUAAUGAAAUAAUAACUGUCUCUAAAUUAUUGAAUGAAUUUAAAUUUUUAGUUAAAAUUCUAAAAUUUAAUUAUGGGACGAUAAGACCCUAUAGAAUUUAAUUUAAUUUUUAAAUUUAUUUAUAAUUUUAAUAAAUAUAUUUAAGAUUAAAUUUGAUUGGGAGGAUUGGUAAAUUUAAUAAACUUUAUUUAAAAUUUAAUUUUGAUAUAAAGAUAAUUUUUUGAAUUACAAAUUGUAAUUAAAAGAAUAAAUUACCUUAGGGAUAACAGCGUAAUAUCUUUUGAUAGAUCAUAUAGAUAAAGAUGUUUGCGACCUCGAUGUUGAAUUAAGAUGAAAAUUAGGCGCAGUAGUUUAAGUUUUUAAGUCUGUUCGACUUUUAAAAUCUUACAUGAUUUGAGUUCAAAUCGACGUAAGUCAGRUUGGUUC